GUAUGCACGUGAGUUGUGAGGGAAGAUGAGGAGGGUAACGCCAUUGAAAAGCAGUGUGAGUAAGCAGAAGGGAUCGGAAGAGGAGGGCGUAAGAAGCGAUACAAAGCGAUACAGGUUAAAAGAAGGAGAAAGGAAAAGGGAAAGAUAAUUAAGAUAAGUAAAGAUAGGCUAUGAUAAGCAAAGUGUGUGAAUAUAAGAGAUGGUUAAGAAGAGGAGGAGGAGGACGUAGGAAGCGAUACACAGCGAUACAGGUUAAAAGAAGGAGAAAGGAAAAGGGAAAGAUAAUUAAGAUAAGAUAGGCUAUGAUAAGCAAAGUGUGUGAAUAUAAGAGAUGAUUAAGAAGAGGAGGAGGAGGACGUAGGAAGCGAUACAAAGCGAUACAGGUCAAAAGAAGAAGGAAAAGAGGAGAGGGGAAAGUCACCUACCCACACCCCAAGCCAUAAACACAGACUUGCGGUAAAACAAAAUCAAUAUACAACAGAAAAAGCAAAUCUAUAGACGAUAUGACACCCUAUAAAACCUGUCCCCUAUACUCCCCUAUCCUAUAAUGCACCUGAUAAUCGCCGUAUAAUGAAGGGAAGGGGAGGGAAGGGAAGGGAAAGGAAGGGGGAGAAUGAGACGUAAUGGGGAGGAAUGGAAACGGAAGGGAGGUGAAGGGGGAGAAGGGCAUGGAGAGGGAAGGGAAGGGAAGGGAAGGGAA